CUUAAGUUGUCCUAGAAGUUGGUUGAUUGUUGAUUUUAUGGUAGCCUAAUAUAAUGUGGAUGUUCUGGUUUCUGACCUGCUGCCUAGCAGCACGGCAGAAGAGGGAUGAUGGUUCAGCUGCCAUUAAGAAAAAGGUUAAGAAAUACAAACUGUGGGAGUUGAAUCUAGAAUUGUUCAAUUUGGGUGUCCACCUUGAUGAGGACAGUUACAGGAAUGAAAUGAAAAACAAAAAGAAGAUCAAGCAGGCACUCCAGAAGCGUCUCAUUAGUGAGCUGCUGAAGAUACAUGUGGACAGAGCCAACAAGAGGGCUAAAGAACUCCACAUGAGUAACCCAGAUGUUAUGACCCAGAAUGUGUUGAAUUAUGGGAAUACUUCACAACAGAGCGAACUGGAACAGACAGAGAGCCAUAACAAGAAAAUGGAAGGUGAUGUUCUUAGUAUUCUUCACAACCUUAUGGACAAAGUUGAGAAAAACAUUGACAGGUGCUGAUGGAAAUCCCAUUAUCCUGGACGAAGUGGAGAGCACUAUGACUCUGAAUCUGAUUUCUGCUGAGGGCUUGAAUAAUGAAACUAUGGACAAAAUGGCAAAGGACGAUGUAAACAGCACCAGAGUGAAACACGACACAGGGGAAGGUGACAACUUCAGCAUGGUGUGAAAAAAAUGUGAAAAAGUGUUGGAGUUGGACUGGAGACAUGUAAUGAAGGAGGACAGGAAAUCCCUUUUUGGUGCUGUUCUGACAAAAGCCUGGUUCUUCUGUUGUUCCUGCUAACCCCCCCCCUUCUGACAAAAGCUCUUCA